GGAACACACAGCCUCUGUUCUCCAGGCGAAGGGGGGAUGCCUUGCCUGAAGUCUUCUGGCUCACCCCAGAGAGAAAAUUUACUUCCAAGCUCCAUGUUGACCCUCUCUGAAGGCUCCACGUACUACCAACAUGGCGUUGUACAAAAUAGACACCAUGCCUGACCUUGAGGAGCCUACCAAACCCAGGUGGAAGGCAGAAACAGGAGAUCUGAAACUUCCGUACCCUCUUCCUGUGUCCCUACAAAGGCCUGGACAAUGUGGUCCCAGCCCUGCCUCGGCCCAUGGGCAGGCCCCACCUUCCUCCUUCCUGCAGGGAUAUCCUUUCCUAUAGAAGAGAGGUGCAAUUAAUAUCAGCAAGUGUGUUCUGCUAGUCUCGGGUGGAAGUUAUUAUGAAAGUGCAAGAACAGCCAUCAUCAAUCAUAGACCCUAAGUUGAUGAGAAAGUCUUCUCAGCCUGAAACUCCUCUGUUGCCCAGGCUAGAGUGCAGUGGCAUCAUUAGCUCACAGCAACCUCAAGCGAUCCUCCUGCCUCAGCUUCUCAAGUAGCUGGGACUACAGACACACACCACCACAUCUGGCUAAUUUUUCUACUUUUUCUAGAGACUGAGUCUCGCUGUGUUCCCCAGGCUGGUCUUAAACUCCCGUCCUCAAGCAAUCCUCCCACCUCAGCCUCCUAAACUGCUGGGAUGACAAGUGUGAGCCACACUGUGCUGGCCUGUUAUUACCAUUAUAUUCUGUCCUUGGAAACUUUGCGAACAGGAAAUCUGUUGGAGCCUGAAUGCACCCUUUGUGAGUCCCAAAGAAGGUCUAAGGAGUCAGAGGGUGGGGGGAGAGACAAUCAUAAAAAGGCAGAAGGAGAGGGAAGCUGCUAUGAAGGUUUUCCUGGACAGGUUUUUACCUUUUCAAAAGCCUUUUUACACUAUUUCUCCUUUGUCCACCUUACCCGAAGCCGUGUUCAAAAUGUGCCUACUGAACCAGGCUGUUUCCAAGCAUAUUCAAGCCCUGGCUUUAGCCCACUAUUUUAUUUAUUUAUUUAUUUAUUUAUUUAUUUAUUGAGACAGAGUCUCACUCUAUGCUCUGGGUACUAUGGCAUCAUAGCUCACAGCAACCUCAAACUCUUGGGCUCAAGCAAUCCCUUUGCCUGAGCCUCCCUAGUAGCUGGGACUACAGGCACUCGCCACAACACUGGGCUAGUUUUUCUAUUUUUAGUAGAGACAGGGUCCUGCUUUGUUCAGGCUGGUCUCAAACUCCUGAGCUCAGAUGAACCACCUGCCUCAGCCUCCCAGAGUGCUAGAAUUACAGGCAGGAACCAUUGUACCCAUAAGCAAUAUUGGCUACCACAGGAUCAUUUGGUUUUUCUGUCUCAGUUGUCAUGGGAUUUUCUGAGAGGUGUUCUUUUUUAUUUUUAUUUUUAUUUUUAUUUUUAUGAGACUGAGUCUCACUUUGUCACUCUCUGUAGAGUGCUCUGCUGUCAAUAGCUCACAACAACCUCUAACUCUUGGGCUCAAGUGAUUCUCUUGCCUCAGCCUCCCGAGUAGCUGGGUCUACAGGCACCUGCAACAAUGCCCAACUAUUUUUAGAGAUGAGGUCUCGCUCUGGCUCAGGCUGGUCUUAAACUCCGGAGCUCAGGCAACCCACCUGCCUAGACCUCCCAGAGUGCUAGGAUUAUAGGCGUGAACCACUGCACCUGGCCUUGAGAAGUGUUCUUUAGAUAAUAAAAGAGGAUUGGUAGUGGCCAUGUCUGUCAAUGAUUUUCAGCUCUCUUCCUUUGGCACAUGAUAGGUUUACAUUUCUGGCCCCCUUUGGGGCGUUAAAUGGGGUCAAGUGUCUAGUUUGGGCCAGUGAGUUGUAAAAGCUAGUGAAGUGUGUCACUUGCAGGCUAAAGCAUUUUACUCCCUGCCCUGAAGCCAACAGUGUUGAAGAUGACAACUGUUCUGUCCCUGCAUCCCUCAAUGACUUUCAUAAAUGAUGAGCAGAACCACUUCAUCCCCA